rnacentral:rRNA from 1 species
GACGAACGCUGGCGGCGUGCCUAAUACAUGCAAGUAGGACGCAGUUGCGAACGGGUGAGUAAAGCGUAGGUAACUACCUAUUAGAGGGGGAGAACUAUUGGAAACGCUAGCUAAUACAGCAUACUCGUAGAUGGACCUGCGUUGUAUGAGCUAGUAGGUAGGGUAAUGGCCUACCUAGGCAACGAUACAUAGCCGACCUGAGAGGGUGAGCGGCCACACUGGGACUGAGCCACGGCCCAGACUCCUACGGGAGGCAGCAGUAGGGAAUCUUCGGCAAUGGGGGGAACCCUGACCGAGCAACGCCGCGUGAGUGAAGAAGGUUUUCGGAUCGUAAAGCUCUGUUGUUAAGGAAGCGGUACUAACCCAGAAAGCGACGGUUAACUACGUGCCAGCAGCGGCGGUAAUA